rnacentral:tRNA from 1 species
UACUAAUGUGGCAGAGAAAUGUAUUAAAUUUAAAAUUUACUUAUGAAAUUAUUCCUUUAGU